GACGAACCGUGCGAACGUGGUUCGGAAUCACUGGGCUUAAAGGGUGCGUAGGCGGGUUAUCCAGUCUGGGGUGAAAUCCCACGGCUCAACCGUGGAAUUGCCUCAGAUACUGACGACCUCGAGGGAGGUAGGGGCGAGCGGAACUGUGGGUGGGGCGGUGAAAUGCGUUGAUAUCCACAGGAACUCCGGUGGCGAAGGCGGCUCGCUGGACCUCUUCUGACGCUGAGGCACGAAAGCUAGGGGAGCAAACGGG
rnacentral:rRNA from 1 species